AGCUCGUCUGCGUGCCCCGGGUCAUCCCAAAGGUCAUCCCAAAGGUCAUCCCAAAGGUCACGUUAUUCCACCCAACUGGGUGGAGGGGCAGCAGCGGGUUCUAGAUGCUCCCCUCAUCCGCGCGUUGUUACGGGAAGUCCCGUGUUUGUUUGACUCAUCCACCCACCCGACCUCCACCCGGUGGCCUCCACGCCCGUCUUCACCAUGCCGACCUGCCGGGCGGGUGGAGGUAGUGCUACCGUGGUGCUUCUAUGCUAGAAGAGGUGUGAUGACGGACACAAUAAGAGGGGGGGGCUGAGAGAGAGAGAGAGAGAGAGAGAGAGAGAGAGAGAGCUCAUAACGAAGUGAGAGGGGAGGAAGAGGAAGAGGAAGAGGGCCCUCGGAGGAGCACCCAGCGCCUUUAAGCAGAUGUUCAGGCAGAGAAGUGAAUCCGGCGCCAUGAACGGCUCGGCGGCUCUGCUGGCUUUUCUCGUUUUAUCGAUUUCUUCAAUUUCCAGAGGAGAAAACGUCACGUCUGUUUCUGCAGGCGAUGCGACAGGUGCUCCGGACGCCUCGAGUCCGUCGCCACGCGAGACCAGCGGCCCGCCGGCGACUCAAACAGCCGCCAAUCGAUCGGACCGGGGCCCAGCGGUCUCCAUGACUCCAGAAGGACGAAAAGACGUUUCAAACAACUCGACAGAGGACACCGUCACCAGCACGGCGCCCCCGCUGACCCCCGUCAGUACCGCCGUCAGAACCGGCGUCAGAACCGGCGUCAGUACCGGCGUCAGUACCGGCGUCAGUACCAGCGUCAGUACCAGCGUUGACAGAACGCAGGGGACUGCAGGCUACGUGGUCCUCGGCUUGAUCGUCCUGGUGAUCAUCGUUCUGUCUGUGAUCCUCUACUUCCUCAGGAGAGCCUCCCAGACGUACUCGUUCGACCUCCACUCGGCUCCCGCCGGCCGUCCCAACCAACCCGUCGGCACCUUCGAGCGCGUCCACCUGAGCGACCUGGAUCGACCGCCUGCUAGCAGAGAGACCGCCGGCGACCUCUCACCUCCCGCUGUGUCCAACGGCUCCACCCGGCAGGCGGAGGAGCGGCGCUCCGACGGAGGGAGCGGUACAUCUCCAGCUGGUCCUCACGCGUUCUCACCGGUUAUCGGCGCCGUGAACGAAACCGAGCAGAACAUUUGGCCCGAAUGGUUCCUUUAAGGAGCCUCCGGUUGAGAUGAUGAGAUGAUGAGAUGUUCAGAUGUUGAGGAGAUGUUGAGAUGAUGAGGAGAUGUUGAGGAGAUGUUCAGAUGAUGAGAUGUUGAGAUGUUGAGAUGUUGAGGAGAUGUUGAGAUGUUGAGAUGUUGAGAUGUUGAGAUGAUGAGGAGAUGUUGAGAUGAUGAGGAGAUGUUGAGAUGAUGAGGAGAUGUUGAGAUGUUGAGGAGAUGUUGAGAUGAUGAGAUGGAGAGCAGAUCUCCCACGCGUAGUCACAGAGCGCUUUUUAAGCGUCCGCCGGGUCAAACCAGCAGAUCGUAGCAUAAACCUCUGGGUUCGUGGUUAAGUGUCGAUGCCGUCGUCUUGACUACCGAAACAACUUCAAAGUGCAUUGGAGUCCUCGCUCACUUCCCAUCGUCAUGGCCACCAACAGCUGGAGA
ensembl:lncRNA